AUACGAAGGGGGCUAGCGUUGUUCGGAAUCACUGGGCGUAAAGCGCGCGUAGGUGGAUCAAUUAGUUGAGGGUGAAAUCCCGGGGCUCAACCUCGGAACUGCCUUCAAUACUGUUGAUCUUGAGACCGAGAGAGGUGAGUGGAAUUCCUAGUGUAGAGGUGAAAUUCGUAGAUAUUAGGAAGAACACCAGUGGCGAAGGCGGCUCACUGGCUCGGUACUGACGCUGAGGUACGAAAGCGUGGGUAGCAAACGGGAUUAGAAACCCUAGUAGUCC
rnacentral:rRNA from 1 species